GUCGUCACCUGCCGCGGGAUGAACAUUCGCGCCAUCCUCCCGCUCAGAAAGGCGAAGCCGCGAUUGCGCCUUUGAAUGGUGGCGAUCUUUCGGGCUUGCUCAGUUGCUUGUGUUCUACCAUUGGUUAAUGAUAGUUUAAAGAAGGUGGCUAUCGAAACCCUCAAAACAUACGAUCCUUAUAAUCAACGAUGGAUCGGUGUCGAGCGUAUUGAUGAUUGUUAAGAGGUUAUGGGGACGGCGGAAAGUACUGCAACGAUAUGGCAAUGCUCGAACGGUUGCUGCCAAUUUCUUUGGCUUGCGGUUAUGCUCCUAAUUUCCGGAGAUCGAUGAUGAUUUCUCUGUGCUGGAAAUAAUUGG